GCAGCGAGAGGUGCUCUCCCAGCACUGAGGGCUCCUGCCUCACUCCUACAGGCUGGGUCACCUCUCUCAGAGAGUCCUUGGAUCUUGAAGACAAAGACAAGAAAGCAGUAGUAGGGGAGAACGUGCUACAGGGAAAUCUCACUGAGCAGGCCUCCAGGCAAUGACUCCAGCUGACAAUAUCAGAGCCUACAUGGUCUUUCUGCACAGGCUCUGCACCGAGUUACGUGUGUCGGAACCUCACUGAGUUCUGAUUGCUGAUUUAAUACUCAUCACCUUUAAGAUCCACAAUGGCUUCUUCGACCAAGUGGCCGUGAAGAGAAAGAAGUGUAAUAUCCCAGGAUGGAGCCUGAGGUCUGUGCUGUACUUCUAAUGAAGGUGAUCUCUGGUAAUCUUUGGCUCUGAAUACCUCCGCUGCGUGCUUUUCAUCAUGUUUAUGAUGAGAAAGGUGUCAUCUGUGGAGCAUCUGCAGAGCCUUGGUUGAGAACUUAAAGAAUAAUAAGAAUAAUAAUAAAAAGCAAAACACAUUCAACUCAAAAUACUUGAAGAAAGAAUAAUUGCUGGUUUCAGUGAUGAGUCUACAUUGGCCAUUGGUCAUUUGACCCAUAUCCUCAGGGGUAGGAUCAUGCUUGAAGAGUUAAGAAAACAUCCAACUAAGUCCCGCUGAGUCUCCCCCUCCAUGGUGGCAAGCAGAGCCAGGCAGCCCUCGGGUGUGUGACGUGGAUGAGAAAGGAAGCCAGCACCCUUCGCUGGAUGGUGCGGGAGUUGCCUGGGGUGCUAUUCUUCAGACUUUGAAGGUUACAGCACGUGUGAUUGAUUGCUCUAUUUUUCCUUGCCUAUAAGCCCUUUGCUACUGGGGCAAAGAGCAGUAAGCGGAGACAAAUGGAUGCCCACUAGGCCCACAUUUGGUUCCAAGGGCUAUGAAAGAAUCAGCUUUGCUUGCUGCGGAAUGUGUGCCUAUGUGCCUGGCACUGUGCUGCCCACUUUCAUGUGCACGAUCUCAUCUCAUUUUCAUUACUCAGUGAAGGAGAUACAAUUAAAUCUCUUUUCCAAAGAAGCCAUGGAAGGGGUCAGCAACUUGCCCAAUAUCACAUAGCUAAGAAGGAACCUGUGCCUAGGCCUGAAUCCAUUCAUACCUGCUGUACCCCCUGCAUGUCCUGCCACAAGCAGAAUGUGAAAACCUUUUACCCCAAGCUUGUGUUUCAGCGAGCCCCUGUGAAUUGGCAUAAUCAUGAUGAAAACUCCCCUUUAACUCAAAGCUGCUUUUGUGGCUGCUGCUUAUGAUCUUGCCAGGUUCACUUGAUUAUACAUUUCAAAUCUCUCUUUGCAUAUCUGCAACCGAGGCUUCUUAAAUCAUUGUACUUUGGAUUUAACAUGGUGAAUUGCACACAUAUGUUUAUUUCUCUCUAGAAACAAAAGCAGAGGAAUAAAAAACGAUAUAAACCUACAAGGAGAAAGAAAAGGAGAGCGAGCAUCUCAAACAAAAUUUGGAAGAUGAAACAUGGAUGGAUGAGCAAUAAAUGACCUGGCAUAGCAGAGAAAUCUGAAACCCAAAUGUCUGAGGGUGGGGUAGGGUGAUGUGGGAGCAGUGGGUGUGUGUGUGUGUGGGGGGAGGCAGUGGGAAGCCAGUAAGAUGCAAGACAGUUCCCAUUGCAGAAUCCCAGAAAGAAUAAAAGUAGAAGUGCCGACUGCCACUGAGUACAGAAGAAAGAAGUGAGGCCACCUCCCUGCUCAGCUACACGACUCCUCCUCUUGGACCUCAGCAGACUGCCUAAGGAAGGUAUACUCUACAGACUAUAACCCAGCAAAGCUCUGGAUCCAGACAUGCCAGCUAUAGCCAAAGCCUGGGAAGAGACACUGGUGGAAGCAGUGGCUUAAAUCAAAGUUUGCAUACUGUAUGGUAGGAUUUCACAAACCCCUUUUCCUGAUUGGCUUCCAGAUUUCUGGAAGCUAGGCUUCUACCCAAUACCCCAGAUAGGAGAUUAGAAAAUCCUUCUCAAGGGAAACUGACCUAUGAGAAAAGACCUAAAGAGUUGGACAUUUGGGGUAUUCUCCAGUGGAGGAUCAGGUCCACAUCAUUCUGUAGAGUGGCCCAUGGUGGACCAGUCCUACUCAUGGCAUACAGACCAUCCAGUCAGGGGUUAGGUGCCUCACUUUGGAAAGCCUUAAACUGUGAUAGUGCUGAAAUUGGAUCUUUGUCACCAAACAGGCAACUUCAUUGCUAUUGAGGCAUCUUUGCAAACUUAGUCUUUGAAUUUCUUGACCUACUAAUCGCAAAAGCCCUAGUUCUUAUUUCCUUAAACAUUUUGGCCUCCUCCUUUACAAAGCUGACUCUCUUCUGUGUAUUCAUACCUUCACUCCUCAUACAAUCUCCCGAAUGUCAGGGUUUUCUUGUUUUUAUUCUGACAUAGAUUAAAACUUAGAUCACUUUGUAGGGGCUGACAGGGGUGAUUCCCUAUGUAUGUUGCUUGACUCUAAUUUAGAUAUCUCAUUGGUUAUUUUUAUUGUGUUGGUGUUUUUGUGUUACUUAUGUUUUAUGUCAUUUUUCCCCACCUUACUCUGAAUGCUCUGAACCUGAUCCUGGUUUCCUGGGAAUAAAUAACAAGUGCUUUAAAGCUUUUUGUGCUCUUGCCAGAUACCAUUAUCUAGAAAUAUGUUGGCAUCUCAUAUAAACAUAUGUUUAGAUUUCUAUAACUAAAUGUAUCCUUAUGUAUGACUUAUUAUUAUAACUGAAUUCAUCUAUAAAGAUAUAAAUUUAUUUACAGGUGUGAUCUAUCAUAAGCUUCUACAUUUCUAUUCAGUUGGUACAUAUGCCCAACAAGGAAUGUGUCACUUGUACUUAGGAAUAAAAUCACAUUAUUUGUGAAGACUUAAUAGAGCUUAAAUGAAUGCAAGCAGUAUUUACCUUAUUAAGUAGGUAUUUUCAACAUUUAUCAUUUAAAAGGCCUAUGUUAAAGGGUGAUGUUCUGAGACAUUUCAAGGUGACCUCUAGCUCUACGAGCUAAAGCAAAUGAGAAAAUGUGGUAAAGGCUGAUACUUGUGGAUGUUUUGUAAAGGAAAGCAAUGUGGUGGAGUGGAAAUGGCUAGAUGUCUAAGGUCAGAGACCUCAUAGGCUCAAGCUCCUCAUUUAUUGACUGUGUGAUCUUGUGUGAGCCCCUCCAUCUGGCUAUGGGGCCUAGAAAAAAAUGCAUAUUCGUGACCUCACAAUUUUGUUAGGCAUUGAGCUACUGUGUAUGAAAGCAUAACAGUAAAUUGAUAUAUUUAAACUGUUGUAUAUCCAAGUCCGUUUUAUCACCCUGUUGCUUACAAUGCCUUGGGCAAAGUACUCAUUCAAUAAAUAUUUGUUGGAUAAUAAACUAAUAAAUGAA